AAUCAACGCUGGCGGCGUGCCUCAGACAUGCAAGUCGAACGCGAAAGUCCCCUUCGGGGACGAAGUAGAGUGGCGCACGGGUGAGUAACACGUAGGUAAUCUACCUUCGGAUGGGGAAGUAACAACCGGAAACGGUUGCUAAUACCGCAUAAUGCAGCGGCACCUAAUGGUGACAGUUGUUAAAGCGGGGGAGUCGAAAGACCCCGCCGUCUGAAGAGGAGCCUGCGGCGGAUUANCUAGUUGGAAGGUAAUGGCUUACCAAGGCGACGAUCCGUAGCCGGCCUGAGAGGGGCGGGUCGGCCACACUGACACUGACAUACGGGUCAGACUCCUACGGGAGGCAGC
rnacentral:rRNA from 1 species